rnacentral:lncRNA from 1 species
AAGUGGUUAAUGUUUGUUGAUUGCGGCACCAUGCUCUGCUCGCCGUGCAGCCUUUGGAUGCAGCGUGGCGCUUCCCGGUCUCCAGGGAACUCGUGGCAUUUUGCCCAGAUGGCAUCAGUCUGUGUCUCAAGGACAUAGCCCGGCGCCUACUGAUUUUUGCAGCAGGAGCCGUAGCGACAGGUGAAGCUGGGGUUUUGCUUCUGUCUCUCUUUUGGGGGGUGGGGGGGGCUCCUUCGAAUGCCAGGGCACCAGCCAGCAGCUCCCUUUAAUCCAGAUGAAUGAUCUCGUACCUGGCUGUAGCCUGGGAUUCCUUUGUGUGGCGGAGAGCCGGCUGGGUGGGCUGGAUCCAAUCGCUCCGGCAGAGGAGCGUGCUCACUUGGCUCCUUCUCCUUCGACUAACCGUGCAGGUCAAAGAAGAGUCAUCCUCCUUUAAGUGCCAAGAAGAGGCCUUCUACCUUCUGGUGCAAGAAGACAUUGAACAAGAAUUGGAAGCUAAAGCUACCAAAGAAGUUGAAAGAAAACUAAGCAGGGAUUUAGUGCAAGAAGAGGAAGAACAGUUGAUGGAAGAAAGGAAAAAGAGAAAAGAAGACAAGAAAAAGAAGGAAGCUGCUCAAAAAAAGGUAUGUGGAUCAUUUAAGUUAAAAAAAAUAGGAUUUGGCUUUUGUUUUUUUUCUCAGACUAAUUUUGCUUAUUGUAAUAUAGCUGUUAAAGAUAAGCCCUUUUUUUUUUUUUUUUAAAUCUCAUUAUAGCACUUCCAAAGCACAAUGCAAUCAUCAAGUAACUGUCUUACUGAACAUCUUUACUGAUCUUGCAGGCAUAGUUUUUUCAAAGCUAAAAAUCUUGUUUAGAUAUCCAUUUAGCUCACAGAUCUUCAGUUGAUAGGGACGUUUCUGGAUGCAAGCCCAUGCAUACACAAUGUGAAGACUGACAUAGUAUAAAAUGUUUUUUAAAAUAGUUGUUUUUAGCUGUUAGCCUUAUUUUAAUACAUCUGAUUAGCCUUCUGUGAUUAGUGUAACUCUUCAUCACACAUGCUUUAUCAAAGAUGGAUAAAAUUAAAACAUUGGCAGCAGGGAGUGGGGUUUAAGACUAGUUAUGGUAAAGUGCUUUGAAGAUAUAAGAGCAUUGAGUGAAUACUAAGAAUUAUUCCCAAGACAUUUUUAAAGAAAAAAUACAAAAUUACUUUUUGGGUAAUGUUAAAACAGUAUCCGUCAGUCAUUAGUAUUUAACAUUGUAGAUGCCCUGGUUGAGAGGAGCCCAUAAAUCUGGCUAAGAACAUAUCUCCAUUUCAGACUUCCAAUUCCUGUAAGGAGACAUCUAAAAUAAGCCUAGUUCUCAAUUUUUUCUUGAUCCUCCUUAGCAAUGUAAAAUGUUCAGUUCAUAUGCAGAAAGAUGGCUAGUCAUUUCUGCAACCCAGACCUCUUGUCAAAAUAAAAGGGUUUAUCUCAUUUACA